UACAAUGGAGAGUUUGAUCCUGGCUCAGGAUGAACGCUAGCGGCAGGCCUAAUACAUGCAAGUCGAACGGGAUUGGGAGCUUGCUUCCAUGAGAGU
rnacentral:rRNA from 1 species